AACAUUACUGGACAAACUAUAUUGACGUUAUUCAUUGAAUAAUCCCGGACGAACUAUGUGCCACCAGCCGCGGUAAGACAUAGGGGGCUAGCGUUAUCCGGAAUUAUUGGGCGUAAAGGGUGCAUAGGCUGUUAUAUAAUUCUAUAUUUAAUUUCAUGGCUUAACGCUGUCUUGUUAUGCAAACUGUCCUGUCUAGAAUGAUAUAGAUGCCAUCGGAUUCCAUGUGUAUCGGUAAAAUGGGUAAAUAUAUGGAGGAACGCCUGAAACGUAGGCGGCUUGCUGGGUCUUUACUGACGCUGAGGCACGAAAGCGUGGGUAUCAAACAGGAUUAUAUACCCUGGUACUCCACGCCGUCCACUAUGAGUACUAACUGCCGGGGUAAAAAUCCCUGCUGGCUAUCCCACAUUUUCGUACUCCACCUGUCUAAAAGACCCCCCAAUGCGGCCUACACUUUCAGGUGUUUGUCCUCAUCUUAACCAUUUUUCCAUCUACGUUGGUGUAUUCCACUUACCCUCAACCCAUCUUAGUCCGGACAUGUUUCUGUCAGCAAAGCUCGAUAAAUAUUGUGUUUGGUUUUCUAGAAUACCCGUGCUGCCUGGCCUGCCCGUCUAAUCCCUGUCAUGACAGGAUAAAGUUAAGUCCCCAAAUCGACCGCCACCCUUGUCGGUCAAUUGCUAGCACGUGAUGGUUGGUGACUUUAGCGAGACUGCCAAUUAUACAUUGGAUGUAUAUGUUGACGAUUACGUCAAAUCAUCAAUGCCCAUUAUGAUUCUGGCUUCAAACAAGUAAUACACUGACCUGUUACUUCCGCUGUUGAGAGUUCCCUACUGCUGCUCCCGUACGAGUU
rnacentral:misc_RNA from 1 species